CAGCAGCCGCGGUAAUACGAAGGGGGCUAGCGUUGCUCGGAAUUACUGGGCGUAAAGGGCGCGUAGGCGGCCAUUCAAGUUAGAUGUGAAAGCCCUGGGCUCAACCUAGGAGUUGCAUUUGAUACUGUUUGGCUUGAGUUCGGGAGAGGUGAGUGGAAUUCCCAGUGUAGAGGUGAAAUUCGUAGAUAUUCGGAAGAACACCAGUGGCGAAGGCGGCUCACUGGACGACUGUUGACGCUGAGGUGCGAAAGCGUGGGGAGCAAACAGGAUUAGAUACCCCGGUAGUCCCUGUCUCUUAUAC
rnacentral:rRNA from 1 species